rnacentral:rRNA from 1 species
CGACGCCGCGUGAGGGAUGACGGCCUUCGGGUUGUAAACCUCUUUCAGCAGGGACGAAGCGCAAGUGACGGUACCUGUAGAAGAAGGACCGGCCAACUACGUGCCAGCAGCCGCGGUAAUACGUAGGGUCCGAGCGUUGUCCGGAAUUACUGGGCGUAAAGAGCUCGUAGGUGGUUUGUCGCGUUGUUCGUGAAAACUCACAGCUUAACUGUGGGCGUGCGGGCGAUACGGGCAGACUGGAGUACUGCAGGGGAGACUGGAAUUCCUGGUGUAGCGGUGGAAUGCGCAGAUAUCAAGAGGAACACCGGUGGCGAAGGCGGGUCUCUGGGCAGUAACUGACGCUGAGGAGCGAAAGCGUGGGGAGCGAACAGGAUUAGAUACCCUGGUAGUCCACGCCGUAAACGGUGGGUACUAGGUGUGGGUUUCCUUCCUUGGGAUCCGUGCCGUAGCUAACGCAUUAAGUACCCCGCCUGGGGAGUACGGCCGCAAGGCUAAAACUCAAAGAAAUUGACGGGGGCCCGCACAAGCGGCGGAGCAUGUGGAUUAAUUCGAUGCAACGCGAAGAACCUUACCUGGGUUUGACAUGCACAGGACGUGCCUAGAGAUAGGUAUUCCCUUGUGGCCUG